rnacentral:rRNA from 1 species
UACGAAGGGGGCUAGCGUUGUUCGGAAUUACUGGGCGUAAAGCGCACGUAGGCGGACUACUAAGUCAGGGGUGAAAUCCCGGGGCUCAACCCCGGAACUGCCUUUGAUACUGAUAGUCUCGAGUCCGGAAGAGGUGAGUGGAAUUCCGAGUGUAGAGGUGAAAUUCGUAGAUAUUCGGAGGAACACCAGUGGCGAAGGCGGCUCACUGGUCCGGUACUGACGCUGAGGUGCGAAAGCGUGGGUAGCAAACGGG